UCACCUGUAAUGAAUGAAUAAAUAAUACAGAGUAAUAUCAGAUCUCAUACUCAAAGUUUCACCUGAGGAAAUAAUGGAGGAGCCAUACUUACUGGGCCAGGAAAAGAGGGGUUUAUAGGCUAUUUUCAAAAAGAAUUUCCAGCUAAAUUAGAUUUUGGAUACAUAAUUUAGCUCUGAAAUCCAUAAGGGAUGUGUUGUUUAUUGUAUUAGUUUUUACCAGUCAAAAUUAAUGUUUACUUAUAAGUAUAAUAACCACAUUUUACUGCACCAAAAUAUAUCAGUAACAUGUAAAAUUUGUUUCCAGCUUUCCAUCUAGUGGCAGGAGGCCAUUAUCAACUGUUCCUGCAGAUGUAUAGGCAUUAACUGCUUAUCUUCAACCUUGUUCUUCAGCUCCUUAACUGGAACUAAGAGAAUCGGAUACAAAUAUUGCAAUCAUUUUGAAGCUAUCGCUUUCAACCUUUAGGUUUGAUAUCACUAUUGAGUAGACACUGUCUGUAUUUGAUUCUCUUAAGGUAGCACUUGUAAGACUCUGGAGAAAAUAUUAAGUACUUAACAGGUUUAUUCAAACUACUAAAUAAUUUAUUUUUAUACAUAGCUGUGAACACUGCUCACUACACUGCAAACAUUAUCUGCUUCUAAAAUGUUCUUGCACUGGGCUUUAAUGCUUAUUACUGUUAAUAGUUUGGUACAGUAAUAAGUGGUUUUGUUAGAAACUCAUUUGAUGCAGUGUGUUAUCGGUGAGCUUAGACAUAAACCAAUCUCUGAUUUUGCUUGCUACCAGCCUAACCUAAUUAAAUAUGAAAUUUUUAAAAAGUAAAAACUGGUGCUUCCCCUUAAAAGGGUUGUAAUAUUAAUAUGAUUCUAUAAAACGUGUAAUGGUACUUCUCCCCUCUCAUCUUAUAAAAGUUCUAUAGAUUAAAGGAACCAACGCAGGAAGAUGAUUCAAGAUCAGCCAUUAAGCAAAUAAGACAGGAAUGUAAUGGUUCAUGCCAAGGGGGAAUUAAAGUAUGAAUGAAUUGGAUAUGGCAGAGUAUUGGUUUCUGGCACUCUUAAAGUUGCAAGAUGAUAUUCUUAAAUCUCAAGCUAAUUUGAUCUGUCUUUUGUCAUUAGACUUAGCAUACAGUUCUAGGUGAAUUGCAGAUCUAGUAUGAUGAGUGACUAUGAAAAUACAUCCCGCUUCUGAGAUCAGCCCUUUGAAUAUAUAUAGUAGUGUUGUCUUGCUCUACUACCAGUUUUGCUCUGUGUUAACCUUCUUGUGCAAAUGUACGUGCUACAUUCUAUUUUGUUUCACACUUUAAGUUCCAGUCUGGUUACGCCUGUACAAAACCUGUGCCAUCACUGUAACUGCAAAAUCAUUUUUUAUGAAAGAUGAUUCAUAAGAAAAGAACCCAGGGUUAGAACUUUAACUUGUCACUAGAAGACAUUUGAUCUGGAAACAGACCAUCACCAGUAAUGCUUUCAAUCUUUCAGGGUGGAACAUUACUCUGAAGUGUUUGAAACUAGCAUACAUGCUGUCACAUGAAUCACGGUUCCACCUAGCAGAUCAGAAAUAGCAUUCACUGAAACAGGAAUCUCUGAAAGACUUUUUUCCUUAUGUACAAUAAGGUACCUGCUCUUUUUCCCCUCUUCAUGAACAAGAGGUAUGUUUUGAACAAGGUGUGAAUGUGGUGAGUGCUGAAUUCUGUACCUGUAUAUUAGAAUAUGAGACAUACUAGUUUGCAUCAAAUUGCAUCCACCCCUGUGGCAGUUGCUUUCUUUUCUGUAUUUUUUUUUAAAAAGGGAGUAAUGUAAGGUAGGCUUAACUGUAAAUAAGAUGCAUAAGUAAUAAAAUAUACAGGUAGAGCUAGAGUGAGUUACCAAGGAGAGAAGCAAGAGCUAUAUCCUUUUUUUCUUUUCAUUUCCCACCCCCUUCUGCUUUUAAUAUACUGACAUAGCAGAAGGCUUUUAACUGCCCUGCUUGGUUUUCAAGUUAGAAACUGGUUUCUACUGGAAGUAACUGCAGAACUAGGAAAUAAGAUUGAAAGGGGAAACAAUUUAGAUUAAGAAACAUGUUUGCUUUUACAGUUAUCAUUCCAAGUCCCAUUACUGGGGGAACCAUGAUGACUUAGAUUUAGCAAUUCUGUCCUUCCCCUUUUAAGAUAUGGACUUGCAUUCAUAAUAGACAAAGCUUCCAAGAAAUUCAACAGUACUUGAUAUUCUUGAUGACUUUUUCUAUUUAAAAAAACCCCAAAAACCAAAAAACAUUUUCAGCAGAAAAGGGUGAGCCCCACAUUUUCUUUUUUUUUUCCUUUUCUUUUACAAGUCCCUCUCAAAUGACAAAUUUUAAGAUGACUUACUAUUUUUUUUUUGAAAGUUUCUUCUUGAACUAUGGAAUUUGCGCAUCUCUUUAACAACUGAUAUGAUACAAGUCCCUCCAUGUUUGCAGUGAAACUGUUUCAGAGGUGUUAAUGAGAAUUACGGUUGUAUGGAGGAAACUCAUUCCAGUUUUGGCAGAUAAAUUUGGUAACUUUUGUUUUAAAAUAACACCGUAUCUAAUACUGUUUACGGUCUUUAAUACUGAAAA